UCCUAUGUUGGUUUCCUACGCGAUGAAAAUUGAGCCCAAAUGAGUCAUAAUUUUCUUCUCUUACCCAUUUGUGGCAUUAGGUUGAUGUGGAAGUAUGCCCAUGCUCCUUAAAUGCUUUACCCAUUCGCGUUGAAAUCCCGGCCCAUGGAUUAUAACUAGUUCCAUCAAAUGCAGAACUUUUGAAGGGUAAACAAUAUGUUGUUAUUUUUUACCCACAAAGCAUUGAUUGAUUGAUACAUACGAUGGCUUUACCAUCUUAGUCCCCUCUUUAAUUAGUUUGGAUGGGGCUCAUGUAGUGCUAGCAUCAUGAAAGAAUACUACUUGGUUGAUCUUGCCAGUAGUCAUAUGCUUGUCUCAA
rnacentral:misc_RNA from 1 species